UGGGUUACUAGCUCAUUUAAUUGUCUUUUCACAGGAUACAUCUCAUGCUCUAAGCAGAAGCAGUUACAAUGGACAGAAUGAAUCCUCUAGCACAAACAGCAGUAGUGCCAAUGUCCAGGGUGGAGCAUUUAUCUCAUUCAACAACACUUCCAGUGGCCAGGGAUUACCUUCAGGAGGAAAGCAGUCUGGUGGAGACGGCUCACAUUCCUCAGACGGCGGCCAAAUAAGCUCUGCUGGGAAACAGUCCAGCCCUAGCCUUUUGGUGCUAUUCAGUGUUUUGAGUGCCUUUGCCACCUCUUCAGUUGUGCCCAAGUGGUUUAUAUGAACAUCUGAAUACGUGACUGGAGACCACGAAGUGUAUUCUGUAAUAACAGAUUAAUUUUUUGUACAAAAUUGUAAUCAAAGUUGAAUAUAUAAUUUGUUGGUUUGUUGUAAUGUCAUUAUGUAUGGCUAAUAUGCCAAGCUUUUGAUUAGUUCUACCUUUUUUAGUUUACAGUAUAUGCCGGUUUAUUUUUCAGUAUUUUAGGCAUCAUUUGAAAAGGAGAUAUUGUGCCCUAACUAUAUGAAUUUUUAUUUCUAACUGACGUGAUGAAUACCUGAUUUGAAUCUGAUCUAGUUGUGAAUCCAACCACUCAGAAGAUAUCUGGAACCACAUGACUAUUAACCCAGGGAAAAAAUAACAGCAGAUUGUCAUGUGUGCAAGCUGAAGGCUCUCACUUGUCAUUACGUAAAAUAAAGCCAAUCCUGUCAUUUUUUUAUAAAAAAGCCUCAAUGGAACAGAAAAGCAGUGUUGGAAUAUUACUCUUAAUCUAUUAUAGUAAUUAAACUAGAGUGAAGUGUAAA